CAAUAGCGUAUAUUAAAGUUGUUGCGGUUAAAAAGCUCGUAGUUGGAUCUCGGCAGGCAGGGGGUGGUUCGCUCUUAGCGCUACUGCCCCAUUUGCCUGUGUGAUUGGCGGAGGUUUCGGGGUGCUCUUCGUUGAGUGACCCGGGGCGCCGUCAGGUUUACUUUGAAAAAAUUAGAGUGCUCAAAGCAGGCUUUUCACGCUUGAAUAUUCGUGCAUGGAAUAAUGGAAUAGGAACUCGUUUCUAUUUUGUUGGUUUUCGGAAAUCGAGUUAAUGAUUAAUAGGGACAAUUGGGGGCAUUAGUAUUCAGACGACAGAGGUGAAAUUCUUGGACCGUCUGAAGACUAACUACUGCGAAAGCAUUUGCCAAGAGUGAUUUCAUUGA
rnacentral:rRNA from 1 species